rnacentral:rRNA from 1 species
CCUACGGGUGGCAGCAGUAGGGAAUUUUCGUCAAUGGGCGCAAGCCUGAACGAGCAAUGCCGCGUGAACGUGGAAGGUCUUCGGAUCGUAAAGUUCUGUUGUAGGGGAAAAAGAGUGGAGAGAGGAAAUGGUCUCCGAUUGAUAUUACCCUUCGAGGAAGUCACGGCUAACUACGUGCCAGCAGCCGCGGUAAUACGGAGGUGGUGAGCGUUAUUUGGAAUGAUUGUGCGUAAGGUGUGCGUAGGCGGACUGCAGCGUCUGGAGUGACAGGGACCGGCACAGGCGGUACGGGCUAUGGAAACUGGCGGGCUGGAAUGCGGGAGAGGGCGGUGGAA